rnacentral:rRNA from 1 species
ACUCCUACGGGAGGCAGCAGUGGGGAAUAUUGCACAAUGGGCGCAAGCCUGAUGCAGCAACGCCGCGUGAGGGACGACGGCCUUCGGGUUGUAAACCUCUUUUAGUAGGGAAGAAGCGAAAGUGACGGUACCUGCAGAAAAAGCACCGGCUAACUACGUGCCAGCAGCCGCGGUAAUACGUAGGGUACAAGCGUUAUCCGGAAUUAUUGGGCGUAAAGAGCUCGUAGGCGGUUUGUCGCGUCUGCUGUGAAAACUGGAGGCUCAACCUCCAGCCUGCAGUGGGUACGGGCAGACUAGAGUGCGGUAGGGGAGAUUGGAAUUCCUGGUGUAGCGGUGGAAUGCGCAGAUAUCAGGAGGAACACCGAUGGCGAAGGCAGAUCUCUGGGCCGUAACUGACGCUGAGGAGCGAAAGCAUGGGGAGCGAACAGGAUUAGAUACCCUGGUAGUCCAUGCCGUAAACGUUGGGAACUAGAUGUAGGGACCAUUCCACGGUUUCUGUGUCGCAGCUAACGCAUUAAGUUCCCCGCCUGGGGAGUACGGCCGCAAGGCUAAAACUCAAAGGAAUUGACGGGGGCCCGCACAAGCGGCGGAGCAUGCGGAUUAAUUCGAUGCAACGCGAAGAACCUUACCAAGGCUUGACAUAUACCGGAAAUGGCUGGAAACAGUCCCCCCGCAAGGUCGGUAUACAGGUGGUGCAUGGUUGUCGUCAGCUCGUGUCGUGAGAUGUUGGGUUAAGUCCCGCAACGAGCGCAACCCUCGUUCUAUGUUGCCAGCACGUAAUGGUGGGAACUCAUAGGAGACUGCCGGGGUCAACUCGGA